rnacentral:tRNA from 1 species
AAAGGGAGACCUAAUUCAGGUAGGAGACGAAAAAAAAGUAGUCCCUACCAAGAAUCAAUCCCAAAAGGUCGGAGCGAGGCAAAAUUGGCUUUCAAACUAGGUUCUGGGUUCACACAAGACCUGAAUCAGGAACAAGGGCUAUUAGCUCAGGUGGUUAGAGCGCACCCCUGAUAAGGGUGAGGUCCCUGGUUCGAGUCCAGGAUGGCCCACCUGUACAGGUGGCAAAAAGAAAGAAAAGAAGCGAGGAAUCAGCACCUUAUCUUACUUAUAUAGUAAGAGAGAAUGCUGGCUCUGAGUUCAGAGUCCAGAGGAACCUUGAAAACUGCAUAGAGCUAGGUGAAAAAGCCAAAAAAGAAGACCACAAG